rnacentral:rRNA from 1 species
UACAGAGGUCCCAAGCGUUGUUCGGAUUCACUGGGCGUAAAGGGUGCGUAGGCUGCGCAGCAAGUUGGGUGUGAAAUCCCUCGGCUUAACCGAGGAACUGCGCCCAAAACUGCUGUGCUCGAGGGAGAUAGAGGUGAGCGGAACUUAGGGUGGAGCGGUGAAAUGCGUUGAUAUCCUAAGGAACACCGGUGGCGAAAGCGGCUCACUGGAUCUCUUCUGACGCUGAGGCACGAAAGCCAGGGGAGCAAACGGG